UACAGAGGGUGCGAGCGUUGUCCGGAAUCACUGGGCGUAAAGGGCGCGUAGGUGGCGAGCCAAGUCCAUGGUGAAAGCUCGAUGCUCAACAUCGAGUCGGCCACGGAUACUGGUGCGCUUGAGCACUGUAGAGGCUAAUGGAAUUCCGGGUGUAGCGGUGGAAUGCGUAGAUAUCUGGAGGAACACCGGUGGCGAAGGCGGCAUCCUGGACCGGCAUUGACGCUGAGGAGCGAAAGCCAGGGGAGCAAACGGG
rnacentral:rRNA from 1 species